UUGGUGCUGGUAAAGGGUCUCGUUGGAGGUCGAUGGCUGGAUGAGAACCAAAAUGUCACUCUUGGAAACAGUGUGCUGGUGGUCUCUCAUGUUCGGGUGUGCGCUGUCCCAGAUCACACAUCCCAAGGAGCUGUUACUGUACAAACCGGGAAGGAGCGCAAGGGUCAUCUGUGAAGCGGAUGCAUCCGUGCCCUUGAACAGCAACCCUCUCCACUGGUUUCAAGCGUCCAAAAGGGACCAAAGAAGUACUCUGACCAUCAGCAACGCAGUGCCUGACGACAGCGGGUAUUAUUACUGCGCCUACUGGCAGUCCCACUGUGAGGAAACAAAGCAGAAAGCAAGACAAAAACACAAGUUGUUUUGCACUGGAACACAAACCACAAAGUUGGUUCAGUGUUUCGCUCACAUGGCA